rnacentral:rRNA from 1 species
UGGGGAAUAUUGCACAAUGGGCGAAAGCCUGAUGCAGCGACGCCGCGUGAGGGAUGACGGCCUUCGGGUUGUAAACCUCUUUCAGCAGGGAAGAAGCGAAAGUGACGGUACCUGCAGAAGAAGCGCCGGCUAACUACGUGCCAGCAGCCGCGGUAAUACGUAGGGCGCGAGCGUUGUCCGGAAUUAUUGGGCGUAAAGAGCUCGUAGGCGGCUUGUCACGUCGGUUGUGAAAGCCCGGGGCUUAACCCCGGGUCUGCAGUCGAUACGGGCAGGCUAGAGUUCGGUAGGGGAGAUCGGAAUUCCUGGUGUAGCGGUGAAAUGCGCAGAUAUCAGGAGGAACACCGGUGGCGAAGGCGGAUCUCUGGGCCGAUACUGACGCUGAGGAGCGAAAGCGUGGGGAGCGAACAGGAUUAGAUACCCUGGUAGUCCACGCCGUAAACGGUGGGCACUAGGUGUGGGCGACAUUCCACGUCGUCCGUGCCGCAGCUAACGCAUUAAGUCG